GGUGCUAUUAGCAAGCUAAUGUUGGCUAGCAUUGCUAGUACAAGCUAAUGGCAAGCAGCUAGUGUGCUCAGAGCAAGUUGGAAACUGUUGCCGUGAUCCGUGAGAAUUCAACUACAAUAUUGUAUCGUGUAACGUGGCUAUCGUGUUGAUGCCGAAUUAAUAAGGCGGUAUUUACCUUGUAAUAAGCCCCGUUGGAGCCACGGACCUCCACCACCAGUUCCUCCAUAUUGGACACGCAAAGGAUGUCGGGACGACAGGUGCUCCUUGAGGCAUCGGGAGAGAAGAAGUUUGAAGGCUGGAGAGUCUGAUUGCCUCAGUGCUGAAGAAAGAGGCCUAAGAAGAGGAAUCCCCUCUCUUUGUGAAAAGGAGUCCAGGUGGGAGCAGAGGAAGAGCAGGAGGAGGAGGAGGAGGAGAAUGGAGUGGGAUGAUUCAUGAAGGCGAGAAUCUGCAGCUUCAUCAGAGUCGGUCAAGCAGGACAGCUGCUGCCGCUGCUGACCUCCCGAACUAGUGGAGAGACCCACACCUUCAAGGACUAAAAGGUCUUCCUAUUCUUUUCCCUCCAGCAGUCACACCGCCCUCCCUCCCUCUGUCAUUCUUUCUUUUCUUUCUCCACCACUUUUUCACUCUCAGCUUAUUGCAACAGAGCAGGGUCAGGACUUAACCCCCCCCCCCUCCACAGAAAUAAAGUCCUUCAGGUCUGCAGAAGAGGACAGUGAUGAGGUGUCUCUGUGCCUGGAAUACAGUACACACAAACAUGCAUUAUUUCAAGGAUGACUGAUGGAGUGGUAAACACAAAUACAACUGUGUCCUCUUGCAUGAGGUGUAGAAAACAACACACACGAAAAUCUUUUUUGUCUUUGUCUUCAGAAAAACAGGAAAAAAACUGAAAUAAUUAAUUGUUUUCCAAAAGGGCCAUACCCUCAUUAUGAAUAUUGAUAAUUUAUGCCUAAAAGGUGCUUACAUUGAAUAGCCGCUACAUGUAUAUGGGAUGCAAAACUAUUACCGUUUUGUUUAGUGUGUUCUCUCACCAUUUGAUUUGAUACAAAAGUAGGUGCAUAAAUGUUCUGUUAAGCAAAUAUGCCAAAAUGUUCUAGUUCUAGCUCAUAUGAUAAUAAACUGAGUAUCGAUAGCAUUUUUCACAAUACUCAAGCAAGAAAAUUAUUAUUGUAGCCUUAGUGGUUUUUCUUUCUGUUCUACCUAUCACUAUGUUCCAACCUUAUGUUGUUUGGUACAUUGUUUGCCGUACACAUUAUUUUAACAUUUGCAUGUUUAAUCUUAUUAUUUCUCAUUUAAUUUUCAUUGUUAUAUUUUAAUUUGAAUGGAUUGUCCGAUUUUUGCUGUGAUGUUUGCACAGUACCUUAUAAAAUGUAUUUCAGGAC